rnacentral:tRNA from 1 species
CCCCCAAAACCGGAAUCUUUCAAUUAAACUACCCUUUG